AACUAGGAUUAGAUACCCUAUUAUUGGAAGUGUAAUAUAAAACCUUAGUAUUAUAAGUUAUGAUCUUUAAAUUAAAAGAAUUUGACGGUAAUUUAAUCUUUCCAGAGGAACCUGUUCUUUAAUUGAUAAUCCACGAUAAAUUUUACCUUAGAUAUUUCCAUAUGCUUGUAUACCUCUGUUUGUUGAGUGUUUUAUUAGAAUUUAUUCUCUUUUAGUUUGUUAUUAAAUAUAUAUCAAGUCAAGGUGCAGCUGUAUUAAGGUUGAAAUGGGUUACUUUAAUAUUUAAUUUUGGAAUGAAUGAUGAAUUUUGUUUGUGAAAUUGGAUUUGGUUGUAAUGAUUAUUAUA
rnacentral:rRNA from 1 species